UAGCGAAGGGGGCUAGCGUUGCUCGGAAUCACUGGGCGUAAAGGGUGCGUAGGCGGGUCUUUAAGUCAGGGGUGAAAUCCUGGAGCUCAACUCCAGAACUGCCUUUGAUACUGAAGAUCUUGAGUUCGGGAGAGGUGAGUGGAACUGCGAGUGUAGAGGUGAAAUUCGUAGAUAUUCGCAAGAACACCAGUGGCGAAGGCGGCUCACUGGCCCGAUACUGACGCUGAGGCGCGAAAGCGUGGGGAGCGAACAGG
rnacentral:rRNA from 1 species